GACGAACGCUGGCGGCGUGCCUAACACAUGCAAGUCGAGCGAUGAAAUCCUUCGGGAUGGAUUAGCGGCGGACGGGUGAGUAACACGUGGGUAACCUGCCUUAUAGAGGGGGAUAGCCUUCCGAAAGGAAGAUUAAUACCGCAUAAUAUGUUUUUGCUGCAUGGUAGAAACAUCAAAGGAGUAAUCCGCUAUAAGAUGGACCCGCGGCGCAUUAGCUAGUUGGUGAGGUAAGGGCUCACCAAGGCGACGAUGCGUAGCCGACCUGAGAGGGUGAUCGGCCACAUUGGAACUGAGACACGGUCCAGACUCCUACGGGUGGCAG
rnacentral:rRNA from 1 species